AGUGUUAACAGAUUGUAAGCAACUUAUGACUCUGGAAUUGGACCAAAGAAGGAGUUUUACUCAUUAUAUGGUCGCUGUUUUGAGAUCAAAGAGAACAAGUAUGUUUACAAAGUUUGUCCCUUUUAGGAUGUCAGUCAACUGGAGGGUCAUACCACAACUACUUUAGGGUAUGUGUUUUUUUAUUUUUUUAUUUAUGGAUUUUCACUGAAACUUGUGUAUUAAAUUUCUCAAAUGUUUUGAUGAGUCAUACAGAGUCAUGCUCUUCUCAAAUGGUGACAAAUGCUGAAAUGGACCUCAAAGAAGCUUACCUUGACCUACCUCAAUAUUUUAAUAGUUUUUAAUUAAUUACAAAAUUAAAAAAUUGCCCCUUUCAACAUAUCAUAUUUUCUCAACAGGUGAGAUUAACAUGUGGAUCAAAAGUUGAAGUUGCUGAUAUAGAUGAACCUACCCGUUGCGAGUAAGCCCCCC